GGAUGUAAAGGUGAUCUGGCUGUGACAUCUAUCAGCCCCUUUGAUCGGCAGGGUUGAUUUGGCUGAUCUGGCUGGAAGGGCAGGUGUCCCCUUCUUCCCUCACUGUUCCAUAUGGGUCCCUCCGGAAGCUAUGCACUUGGUCGAGGAGGACAAUCAUCUCCGCUAGAGGAGAACCAUUUUUUUGGUCAAGGCUGUAUAGGUAGUUAUGCGCCCCUGCUAGAACCUCCAAACAAGCUCUCAAGCAAUUGUCCUGGAUGGAGCUGGAAUUGCAAAAUGGUAGAAGAAAACAUUUCCCAGGGAUUAGCAACUGCAGAGUGCUCCAUCCAUCCCUAGGG
rnacentral:snRNA from 1 species